rnacentral:rRNA from 1 species
UACGUAGGGUGCAAGCGUUGUCCGGAAUUAUUGGGCGUAAAGAGCUCGUAGGCGGUCUGUCGCGUCGGCUGUGAAAACUCGGGGCUCAACUCCGAGCUUGCAGUCGAUACGGGCAGGCUAGAGUUCGGCAGGGGGAGACUGGAAUUCCUGGUGUAGCGGUGAAAUGCGCAGAUAUCAGGAGGAACACCGGUGGCGAAGGCGGGUCUCUGGGCCGUAACUGACGCUGAGAAGCGAAAGCAUGGGGAGCGAACAGG